ensembl:lncRNA
UUCACCAUUAGCUGCUCUGAAUUUGGGAGGCUUUCUGUAAUCACAGGGCAUCUUACAAUUACUGUCGGCCAGGCAGCUGCCUUUAAGUAUGUCAUCAACUGCGACUGUGCUGAGCAGAGCUAUGAAAUAGGAGCGGGGCAGGUGCACAGCCGUUAUCGCGAGAGUAUUAGCAGGAAACCCGGAAAGCGACCGUUAGAGAUCCCGCUGUGCCAAUGGUCAGCCUAGCAGUGGUGGGACUCGCGGCAGAAAGUGUGGUGAGAGGCAGAUUACAGCCUUCUCCCCGGGGCCCUCCAGGUGCUCUGGCCUCAGGCCAGCAGGUGAACUGGGGGGCCGUGGGGACAGGCCAGGGGCUGUGUCUCUCACACGGCUGCCUGUUGGUCGGGUCCAAGCCUGGAAGUGACCGUGAACCUCUUCCCGCUCCUCGCCUGCGAGACUUGAUGGCGACGUUAGUCGUCUCCACUGGUCUCCGUCCACAGAAGCCCCAGCAGCUGAAGGAUACACACACUGCCAUUCAGAUGCUGUGGUGCACAAACGUUACUCUGGUCCAUGUUCUCUUGCUCACUGCUGCCUCGUUGACAUGAAGAGAUGGUCAGGCGCAUCCUCCUGUGACCUGGAAUAAACUCCAGAAGAGGGCAGGAACUUUGCCAACUUCUGAAUGUAACUUUAUUUGGGUGGCGUCUGUUUUAAGAAUAAUCACCCUUGGAGAAAAAAGUGUUCUGACCACUGUCACAAGGAGAGGGUCGUAAAUUGUCACCAGGCCCCCCUGGCCAGAAGAUGAUGUAAC